rnacentral:lncRNA from 1 species
AGUCAAAGAAGAUGGCCACAGAGACAGCAGCGUGGUCAGAGUGGUAGGAGCCAGCCAUCGGCGAGAGCUGCUUCGUGCCUGGCCUGCUGGGUGCUAGAGCCUGUGGCCCACUGGCUUGCCUCACUGUGGUUGGUGGUGGCAGUGACAGAGACUGCAGCACGACCAGAGUGGCUUUUCUGGCUUUGCCCGCCCAGCUGCUCCAUGCCAGGAGGAGGAGGAGACACCUAGAGCCUGCGACACCACGACUCGCCUCGCU